rnacentral:lncRNA from 1 species
CAGCUGGAUUCCUUAUGCAAUCGGGCCUCUCUAGCAGACAAUUCUUCAGACAAGCUUCUAUGUUAUACGAAUUCCAGACAAACUUCUCCAGCAAUCAGACUCCUGCCAGACUUCUCCAACAGGCAGUUCUCGUCCGAGCUUCUAUAGUAGAUGACUUUUAUUUGCAGCACCAAUGGUGCCCAACAACAGUUAACCCAUCAACAAUGUUGCUCC